ACGGGAGGCAGCAGUGGGGAAUAUUGGGCAAUGGGCGAAAGCCUGACCCAGCAACGCCGCGUGAAGGAAGAAGGUCUUCGGAUUGUAAACUUCUUUUAUGAGGGACGAAGGACGUGACGGUACCUCAUGAAUAAGCCACGGCUAACUACGUGCCAGCAGCCGCGGUAAUACGUAGGUGGCAAGCGUUAUCCGGAUUUACUGGGUGUAAAGGGCGCGUAGGCGGGAAGGCAAGUCAGGUGUGAAAUCUAUGGGCUUAACCCAUAAACUGCACUUGAAACUGUUGUUCUUGAGUGAGGUAGAGGUAAGCGGAAUUCCUAGUGUAGCGGUGAAAUGCGUAGAUAUUAGGAGGAACAUCGGUGGCGAAGGCGGCUUACUGGGCCUUUACUGACGCUGAGGCACGAAAGCGUGGGGAGCAAACAGGAUUAGAUACCCUGGUA
rnacentral:rRNA from 1 species